AAGGAUUUAAGUUAAGCUAAACUUUUAGCCUUCAAAGUUAAAUAUAGAUUUUGUCUAAGCCUUA
rnacentral:tRNA from 1 species